GAUGAACGCUAGCGGCAGGCCUAACACAUGCAAGUCGAAGGGCAGCACGUCUUCGGAUGGUGGCGACCGGCGCACGGGUGCGUAACGCGUAUGCAACCUACCUCUUACAGUGGGAUAGCCCAGAGAAAUUUGGAUUAAUACCGCAUAGUAUACAGAUUCAGCAUUGGGACUGUAUUAAACUAUUUAUGGGUAAGAGAUGGGCAUGCGUUCUAUUAGUUAGUUGGAGUGGUAACGGCCACCCCAAGACAGCGAUAGAGUACGGGGCCCUGAGAGGGGGGAUCCCCCCACACUGGUACUGAGACACGGACCAGACUCCUACGGGAGGCAGCAGUGAGGAAUAUUGGACAAUGGGCGAGAGCCUGAUCC
rnacentral:rRNA from 1 species